UACGUAGGGUGCGAGCGUUAAUCGGAAUUACUGGGCGUAAAGCGUGCGCAGGCUGUUUGUAAGUCAGAUGUGAAAUCCCUGGGCUCAACCUAGGAACUGCGUUUGAAACUACAAGGCUAGAGUGUAGCAGAGGGGGGUAGAAUUCCACGUGUAGCAGUGAAAUGCGUAGAGAUGAUGGAGGAAUACCAAUGGCGAAGGCAGCCCCCUGGGCUAACGACUGACGCUCAUGCACGAAAGCGUGGGGAGCAAACAGG
rnacentral:rRNA from 1 species